GUGCAAAAUCUUAUUGAGCAUCGUCUUAAGCUACACAUGAAUCAGAAAGAAGUAGUUGACGCACUCUCUCUCCAGGCAAAAAUAGAUCCUAAUUUUACAGAAGUUGGGCGUUGCGCGGCGUGACGAUUAAAUAAGCUUGACUCUCCUCGCGGGAGAAAGGAGGGAGGGAAGAGGAAAGGAGCAGCUUUUAGGAAGGAAAGAAUGAGCAAGAGAGAGUCGAUGGAGGGAGAGGGCGCGACGGCUGGAGAGAGGAGGCAGAGGAGGAACUGCGUGAUGUGCGGGUGGUGAUGGAGCUCCUCCAGUCGAUGGGUGUGGGAGAAGAGGAGUACGAGCCCCAGGUGGUCCACCGGUUCCUGGAUAACAAAAAUCUUUUGCAUUUUUCAGUUUGCACAAAAAUCUAUAAGAAAGAUGAUAAACACAGGAUGAGUCAAGGGAAUGUGAAUGAGCCUCCAAUCUGUGAAUUACCUGACUAGGGAUUAAUGGCUUCCCAUUACAGUGAUAUCAUGAUCACAAUGAGCCCAGACCACACGAAGACAAUGGUUGGUGUCCUCCCCCUUCUUCCCAUCAGUCCCUUUGCAAAUGGGUAGAGAUGAGCCAACACCUAGAAGCUGAAGAACACACCACCCAGCACCUUGCUCCACUAUGGAAUCACACUGUAUAUCGUUCGGCCGACACCGACAGCAAUUGCAAUCAGAUUUACCAUUAUGAUGUUUGGCCAGGACUUGAAAAAGAUAAUCAAGAAUUUUUCAAGGCGCAUCAUGUUAGACUGAUGCUUAAGAGCCAAAUUUUGGUAUUCAACAAGCUUCUAGAGAAACAGGUUGAGCUUAUGCACCAAGUGUGUCCAUCUGGUGUUGCUGCUAUGCCUCUUUCCAGUGGCUCUAAUUCUUCCACAUUGCAUCGAACACCAUCAUGCCAUUUGUCAGAACAUGCAUCUAUGCCUUCAAGGUCAGAUAGCAUGCUUUGCAAUGGAGCCAUUGCCAAUGCUAUCAUAAAUGGUAGGCCAGCAGGAGAAGGCAUUCAGUUUGGUGAUGAUGCAUCUGUUUUUACUGGGAGCUUGGACGCUUCAACAAGCAUGUUGUCAAUGCAGAGCUCGACCAUGGGAAGACUUAUAGGAAUUAACAGCACAGCUAUAAAGUCUGAACCUAACCAUUCAAGCAAUUCUGAGUUUCCAUUCUGUACUGAUAGUAGCUUCUUAGAAACACACCGACCAAUUGGAGAUGCACCUGCUGGAUCCUUCAGCAACUCAGAGUUGACCGGUCAACCAUUAAAUGAUCCACUCCUGGAUGAGCCAUUUGGAUUCUUAAGUCAGACUCCUCAGGAUUUAAGUUUUUCAGAUUUAGCAGAUCAUUUUGCUCAGAGCGCUGAUAUAAUAGAGAAUUAUGUUGGAUCUCCUUUUCUUCCACCUGAAGCAAGUAACUUCUCAGAUUCUCCUGGAGAAUGUAAAGGUGAGAAUCGUAAUUUCCUUUUUUCCAUCACCAUCUGGUUGCUAAUAUCUUAUUUUAUUUUAUUUUUUUGUUUUAGAGGGAGAAAGUAGGAGACCAGAUUUUAUAUCUGAAGGUGUCAAUUAUAAGGAUUUUGUGAGUGACUGGUGAUCUAAUUGUAUCUGCUUCUAAGGUUGACUGGGCGAAGGUGGUAGCUACAUAGCUUGUGGGUAGACGGGUUUCGCAGGUUCUUGACAUUCUGGUUAUGACUGUUUGAUUGCUAAUGCUUGCAUUCAUUCGAUGAACGCGUAAUAAUGCUUGUCUGUUGGUCAGAAGUUAGCGUUUUGUUUUUCAGACAGGUCUUAUCACAGCGCUGAGAAAUGAUAUUGGACUUUCAGGUUUUUAUGUAAAAUGCCUUCUAGGUAUCCAUGUUUACGUCUGCCAUAUGAUAAAAUUCCGUUUAUUUUUUGGGUUUA